UACAGAGGUCCCGAGCGUUGUUCGGAUUCACUGGGCGUAAAGGGUGCGUAGGCGGGUCUUUAAGUCAGGGGUGAAAUCCUGGAGCUCAACUCCAGAACUGCCUUUGAUACUGAAGAUCUUGAGUUCGGGAGAGGCGAGUGGAACUGCGAGUGUAGAGGUGAAAUUCGUAGAUAUUCGCAAGAACACCAGUGGCGAAGGCGGCUCACUGGCCCAUAACUGACGCUGAGGCACGAAAGCGUGGGGAGCAAACAGGG
rnacentral:rRNA from 1 species